AUCGCGGACUUAACAGAUAUAAAUAUAUAUAUUAUAUAGGGUAUUGUAAUAUAACAGAUCCCCAGCUGAAACUGUGUCGCCUUUGAAAAAAUAAUAAGAUUCCAUAUGAACAUAUUAGUCACAGAUACAUCAUACCUGUGAAGUUUCCUGCUGUGUAAUUGGUAUCAAACAAUGAAUAAAUUUAACUGUCAAUACUACAGUAUGUACCUGGUCCAAUUUCUAUACCCUUUUCAAGAAAUGAGGAUUCAUAGUUUCCAGAAGAGUUCAGCUUAUAAGAGAUCCAUUGUUGGUGGCGCAUUGCUAAAGUGUAUGGCAGAGAAUGUAUGAAGUGUUGCACAAACCUCAACAUAACACUCGGCAUAUGGAUCAUAAAGUGCAUUUUCGGGAUGAUGGAACUCUCCGGGUAGAGGUGACAAAACUCACUAUGGUGUUCUUCAAUGAGUACUUGAAGGCUUUACUGAAGUAUUCACCAUAUGUUGAAAUUUGAGCGCAAUGAUCCUCGUACGAUUGUGGUGUUCUCAAGGCCUAGGCAGUGACGACACAUACAAUGGGCUGAGCAACCUUCUUUGAAGCCUCCAAGUGACUGUGAUCCAGGAUUAUCUGCAGACGCGUAUGCUAUUGUGCCUCGAAAUCUUUUUUCAGUACCCUUUAUUGAGAACGGAUAGCCUUCAUCCUGAAGUAAAUUUGGAUUUUUAAAAUAUAUGUCAUUGUCUCAUAGAAAAAGUUCUCAUUGUCUCAUCAAAAUUCUAGAAAAAGUUAACAUUUACAAAUUGCAUGUGCGGCAGCAAUAGCUCGAAACAUCUUAAAACUGUAUCUUUUGAGAAGAGAUCAUCAUGUAUAAACUUUGAAAAACUAUACCUGUUCCAGUUUUUGUAAGUCUGUAAUAAACGGUCGUAGGACCUCGUU